AACGCAUAUUGCGCUCUUUGGUAUUCCGAAGAGCAUGCUUGUUUGAGUAUCAGUAAACACCUCAACCUCUCUUUUUGACAAAAAAAGGAGGGUGGACUUGAGCUAUCCCAACGACCUUCACCGGUAGGCGGGCGGCUUGAAAUGCAGGUGCAGCUGGACUUUUAUCUGAGCUAAAAGCAUAUCUAUUUAGUCCUCGUCAAACAGGAUUAUUACUUUUGCUGCAGCUAACAUAAAGGAUAAUCGUCCUCUUUGCUGACUGAUGCAGGAUUUUACGACACUUU
rnacentral:misc_RNA from 1 species